rnacentral:rRNA from 1 species
AUCGGGUUCAGGGACAGUGCCUGAUGGGUAGUUUAACUGGGGCGGUUGCCUCCCAAAAAGUAACGGAGGCGCCCAAAGGUUCCCUCAACCUGGUUGGCAAUCAGGUGGCGAGUGUAAGUGCACAAGGGAGCUUGACUGUGAGACUGACAAGUCGAGCAGGGACGAAAGUCGGGACUAGUGAUCCGGCAGUGGCUUGUGGAAGCGCUGUCGCUCAACGGAUAAAAGGUACCUCGGGGAUAACAGGCUGAUCUUGCCCAAGAGUCCAUAUCGACGGCAUGGUUUGGCACCUCGAUGUCGGCUCGUCGCAUCCUGGGGCUGGAGUAGGUCCCAAGGGUUGGGCUGUUCGCCCAUUAAAGCGGUACGCGAGCUGGGUUUAGAACGUCGUGAGACAGUUCGGUCCCUAUCCGCUGCGCGCGCAGGAAAUUUGAGAAGAUCUAUCCCUAGUACGAGAGGACCGGGAUGGACGAACCUCUGGUGUGUCAGUUGUUCCGCCAGGAGCACCGCUGAUUAGCUACGUUCGGAACGGAUAACCGCUGAAAGCAUCUAAGCGGGAAGCCGGCUUCGAGAUGAGAUUUCCAUCCCUUCGGGGGAGAGGCUCCCAGCCAGACGACUGGGUUGAUAGGCCGGAUGUGGAAGACAGGACUAAAGACUGUCGGAGCUGACCGGUACUAAUAAGCCGAUAACUUGAUAA